CAUCUUACCACCCCUCCCAGGGCACCGUCUCAGGCCUGGGUGCUUCGACAACCCUGAGGUUCAGGGGACAUUCCUCAGCAGUUACUUAGCUGGGUGAUGGGAAAAAAAAAUGCAGCCUAAUUGGCUAGUGGCCUUUUCUAGUGAAUGAAGGUUUCUGUUUUAAGAAGUAAAGUGACUUCUCAGCGGCUGUUGAUUCACUGCCCACAGGGAGAUUUUGAGCAGAGGCUUCCUAGCCUCGGUAGAAAUUUGCAUACAGCUUCCACUUCCUGUUUCAGAGCCUGUUCCACGGCUUACCUGGGCCGGGAGAGGGUGGAGGGAGGCCUGGAGCGGCCCAAGGUAGAGUGGCCCGGAGAAGGAGAGAGAGAGCGCGUGACCACCCGUGGCCGGCCUGUCUGUCCUUGGCGGCUCUAAGACACUAGAAUGAACCGAAGCAUUCCUGUGGAGGUGGAUGAAUCAGAACCAUAUCCAAGUCAGUUGCUGAAACCCCCCUCAGAAUAUUCCCUGGCAGAGGAGUCAGAACCGCCUGCUCCAGAUGCAAGGAACACGGCACAUAACAACUUGUCUGCACCCCCAACUGCUCGGUCUUCCUCCAGAGACUUUCCUCAGGCUCACCCACCCCUGCAACUAUCAAAUCUCCAGCAGCCUGUGUCCCCGAGGGUCACCCACCUGCGCGCUAAAGUCUUGGCAGAGAGUGAAGACAGCUUGUGGAGGAGACACCUGGAUCCCAGCAAAGACUUCCCCUCAGGCUUCUCUGCAGCCGGGGAGCCCGAGACUCAGUCUGUGGCUGGAGCCCUCCCCCAGGAGCAUCAGUUUUCCCUUACAGAAAAGCCUAAUCAAUGGCUGGGAUCUUGGCUCUCAGCAACUUCCCCGGACACUGGCCAUGACUCUGACAAAUCCGACCAAAGUGUACCUAAUGCCUCAGCAGACCCCCAAAGUGGUAGCCAGGAGAUGGUGCCCCGGCCGCAUAGGAGCAGAGCAGCCCCAGACCCACCUACAAUAGACACGGGGUAUGAUUCACAGCCACAGGACGUCCUGGGCAUCAGGCAACUGGAAAGACCCCUACCCCUCACCUCCGUGUGUUACCUCCAGGACCUCCCCAGACCGCUCAGAUCCAGGGAGUUCCAUCAGUGCGAACCUCAGAGAUACCCAGCGUGGGCACAGAUGCUGCCCCCCGAGCCCUCUGUGCAAGCUCAGUGGAAUUAUCACUACUAUUGUCCUGGAGACCCCGACCACCAAGUGCCAUAUGGCCAUGACUACCCUCGAGCAGCCUACCAGCAAGUGAUCCAGCCAGCUCUACCUGGGCAGGCCCCACCUGGAGCCCAUGUGAGAGGCCUGCACCCCGUGCAGAAGGUCAUCCUGAGUUUUCCCAGCCCCUGGGACCAAGAAGAGAGGGCUCCACAGAGAAACUACUCUCCCACAGGUCUCCCCAGGUAUCAGGACCAGCUGUAUAACCCGCCACCUAAUAGAGGUGGAGCUCCUGAAGGGUCCUUGGAGUGUCCUGCCGAGUUGAGGCCACAGGAUCCCCAGGCUCCAUCACCAGCUGCUGUCCCUAGACCCCCGAGUCACCCUCCAGCCAGAGGAACUCUGAAAACAAGCAAUUUGCCAGAAGAAUUGCGGAAAGUCUUUAUCACUUAUUCUAUGGAUACAGCCAUGGAGGUGGUGAAAUUUGUGAACUUUUUGUUGGUAAACGGCUUCCAAACUGCGAUUGACAUAUUUGAAGAUAGAAUCCGAGGCAUUGAUAUCAUUAAGUGGAUGGAACGCUACCUUAGGGAUAAGACAGUGAUGAUAAUCGUAGCAAUCAGCCCCAAAUACAAACAGGAUGUGGAAGGCGCUGAGUCGCAGCUGGACGAGGAUGAACAUGGCUUACAUACUAAGUACAUUCAUCGAAUGAUUUCUCAGUUAUAAAAUUCAGAUGGACGAUGAGAUAGUUGGGAACACAUAAUUCCUCAUCUCCUUCGUCAUCAGAUGACUGAAAGCUUUGUGCUGGUCACAGGAUUUGGAAGACUCUAACUCGUCUCAUGCUGAAAUUUCUGGUUUUGGUCGAGUUUUUGGCAGCUAAAUCUUUUUGGGGGCCGCUGCUGUGUCAGAGUAAAUUGGAGGUGGUGUGGGGAACCUAAAGCUUGGCAGAUGGAGCUCAUCUUAUUGACCUCUAGCUUCGCUUCCCUCACCCUCCCUGGCCCCCCUGUGUUUCUAACCAGUCCCAGCCCCCAAACAUUCCUUCACACCUCCAGACAUUUGCUCAUAUGCUGUUUCCUUUACUGAGGCUGUCCUUCCCCCACCUCGCUCCAUUUUCCCUACCUGAGCAAAUUCUUCUUUUCUUUUAGUAUCCAAAUGACACCCCCCUUGUAACUCCUUCAAACCACUGAUGUAGAAAAGGGUGGCCCCCAUUGGGCUACCACAGCAAUUUGUCCAUACUUUUCACACUGCACUGUGGUCGGUAGUUUUCCUUUCUGCCUGCUCAGUAAGCUGCUGGCUUUAUAGCUGUGGUACCUGGUAAACUGGUCCUCAAAAAAAAAGGGGGGGGGGGGGAAUCCUGAUUUGUAGCAUUUGUCUAUUUCCAUGGUACAAAUAUGCUCACAGGGCCGACUUCAAACAAGCACUGUGAAGUCACUGAACACAGACUUGGGAAGAGAUACACACGAGAGUGGCUUCUGUGAACUGCUGUGCGGCAGCUCAGCAUACCCUGGAAAGUAUCCUAGUCCUUGAAACCCCAAGUCUAACACAGAGCUUGACUCUUAACAGGCUUUCAGUACAUGAUUGAUGAAUGAGCAAAAGGCGUGGAUGUGCGAUGGACAGUUUAAAAUCAGGAGUGUGUGGCUCUGACAGAAAUCAGAACAAAAAUCCUGUGUGGACUUGCAUGAUUGUGAGAACCAUUAAUUUCUCAUCCUCAGUCCUGAAAUUAAACCUUCAAGUGUGUUCUGUUCCAGAUGCAGAUUGAGUUCAUAAAACAAGGAAGCAUGAACUUCAGAUUCAUCCCUGUACUCUUCCCAAAUGCUAAGAAGGAGCACGUGCCCACCUGGCUUCAGA